rnacentral:rRNA from 1 species
GUGUCAGCAGCCGCGGUAAUACGAAGGGGGCUAGCGUUGUUCGGAAUUACUGGGCGUAAAGCGCGCGCAGGCGGUUUAUUAAGUUGGAAGUGAAAUCCCAAAGCUUAACUUUGGAACUGCUUUCAAAACUGGUAGACUGGAGAAUGGUAGAGGAUGGUGGAAUUCCUAGUGUAGAGGUGAAAUUCGUAGAUAUUAGGAGGAACACCGGUGGCGAAGGCGGCCAUCUGGGCCAUUUCUGACGCUGAGGCGCGAAAGCGUGGGGAGCAAACAGGAUUAGAUACCCGGGUAGUCC